rnacentral:tRNA from 1 species
GACGAGGUGGCCGAGUGGUUAAGGCGAUGGACUGCUAAUCCUUUGGGCUCUGCCGGCGUGGGUUCGAAUCCCAUCCUCGUCA